rnacentral:rRNA from 1 species
GAUGAACGCUAGCGACAGGCCUAACACAUGCAAGUCGAGGGGCAGCACAUGAAGCAGCAAUGCGGAUGGUGGCGACCGGCGCACGGGUGAGUAACGCGUAUGCAACCUACCUACAACAGGGGAAUAACCCGUUGAAAGACGGACUAAUACCCCAUAACACAGGGAUCCCGCAUGGGAAUAUUUGUUAAAGAUUUAUCGGUUGUAGAUGGGCAUGCGUUCCAUUAGCUAGUUGGUGAGGUAACGGCUCACCAAGGCAACGAUGGAUAGGGGAACUGAGAGGUUUAUCCCCCACACUGGUACUGAGACACGGACCAGACUCCUACGGGAGGCAGCAGUGAGGAUAUUGGUCAAUGGGCGCAAGCCUGAACCAGCCACGUCGCGUGAAGGAAGACGGCCCUACGGGUUGUAAACUUCUUUUGUAAGGGAAUAAAGUGUAGUACGUGUACUAUUUUGCAUGUACCUUACGAAUAAGGAUCGGCUAACUCCGUGCCAGCAGCCGCGGUAAG